rnacentral:rRNA from 1 species
AGAGUUUGAUCCUGGCUCAGAACGAACGCUGGCGGCGCGUUUUAAGCAUGCAAGUCGAGCGAGUAGGUUAAGGUGCUUGCACUUUAACUGAGAGCGGCGAACGGGUGAGUAACGCGUAGAUGAUCUGCCCUUCAGUUGGGGAUAGCUCAUGGAAACAUGGGGUAAUACCGAAUACACUCUUUGCACUGUGGUGUUUAGAGGAAAGGCCCGUUUGGGUCGCUGAGGGAUGAGUCUGCGUCUGAUUAGCUUGUUGGUGGGGUAAUGGCCUACCAAGGCGACGAUCAGUAGCCGGCCUGAGAGGGUGACCGGCCACACUGGAACUGAGACACGGUCCAGACUCCUACGGGAGGCAGCAGCUAAGAAUCUUCCGCAAUGGGCGCAAGCCUGACGGAGCGACGCCGCGUGGGCGAAGAAUGCCGAGAGGUUGUAAAGCCCUUUUUCUAACUGAAGAAUAAGGUUUAUAGGAAAUGAUAGAUCGAUGACGUUAGGUUAGGAAUAAGCUCCGGCCAAUUACGUGCCAGCAGCCGCGGUAACACGUAAGGAGCGAGCGUUGUUCGGAAUUAUUGGGCGUAAAGGGCUUGUAGGCGGCUAAGUAAGUCUGAAGUGAAAGACCACAGCUUAACUGUGGGAGCGUUUUGGAAACUGCUUGGCUUGAAUCAGUGAGGGGGUACUGGAAUUCCUGGUGUAGGGGUGAAAUCUGUUGAGAUCAGGAAGAACACCGGAGGCGAAGGCGAGUACCUGGCGCAUGAUUGACGCUGAUGAGCGAAAGCGUAGGGAGCGAACAGGAUUAGAUACCCUGGUAGUCUACGCUGUAAACGAUGUGCACUUGGUGGUGGGUAAUUAACUCUCGCUGCCGUAGCUAACGUGUUAAGUGCACCGCCUGGGGAGUAUGCCGGCAACGGUGAAACUCAAAGGAAUUGACGGGGGCCCGCACAAGCGGUGGAGCAUGUGGUUUAAUUCGACGAUACGCGAGAAACCUUACCAGGGCUUGACAUAUUUAGGAUCGCUGUAGAGAUACAGUUUUUACCUUUGUAACCUUUUUACAGGUGCUGCAUGGUUGUCGUCAGCUCGUGCCGUGAGGUGUUGGGUUAAGUCCCGCAACGAGCGCAACCCUUGUCGUAUGUUACCAUCAUUAAGUUGGGGACUCAUGCGAGACUGCCGGUGACAAACCGGAGGAAGGUGAGGAUGACGUCAAAUCAGCAUGGCCCUUAUGUCCUGGGCUACACACGUGCUACAAUGGCAGGUACAAUGCGCUGCGAGACUGCGAAGUUUAGCGAAACGCAAAAAGCCUGUCUCAGUUCGGAUUGGAGUCUGAAACUCGACUCCAUGAAGGUGGAAUCGCUAGUAAUCGCGUAACAGCUUGACGCGGUGAAUACGUUCCCGGGCCUUGUACACACCGCCCGUCACACCACCCGAGUUGGGGGUACCCGAAGUCGCUAGUCUAACCUUU